GCCUUUGUGGUGUAAUGGUCAGCACACUCGCCGCGCAAUCGAGAAUUCCGAGGUUCGAGUCCCGGCGAGGGCA
rnacentral:tRNA from 1 species